GUGGACUAGAGCCUGGGAAGCGGGUGACUUCACCCCCCAGCCCAUUGUGCUUAUCGUCAUGGCAACCCAAUCCUCGCUUGGAAUGCGGCUGGUGCUUUGAGAUGCAAAAGGAGCCGGACAAAGAGCUAGGGGCCCCAGGCCUGAGAAAAGCACCCCCCUUCCCUCUCCUUCCUGCCUCCCUUUCCCUCCCUCCCUUCUCUCUCAGGCCUGGUGAGCUCAAGGGGGGCUGGGGAAAAGCAAGGCCCCAGGCAUGGUGGCACAGUGCCCACUGGCACCCUAGCACCAAUGGACACUCCUAUCCUGGAAUCCUGGACAGGGUGAAGCUCUAUGAGGGACCCCAGCUUGUGGCGGAUUCUGGGGUAAUCAUUGACACAUCCAUGCGAGGGGGGCGUCUUGGUGUAUUCUGCUUCUCCCAAGAAAACAUAAUUUGGUCCAAUCUCCAGUAUCGAUGCAAUGACACAGUGCCUGAGGACUUUGAGCCAUUCCGGAGGCAGCUGCUCCAGGGAAGGGUGUGAGGAGGAGGCCACCAGAUUCAGAAUUCAGAAUUUUAGACCCUUUGGCCUUGGGGUCCAUCCUGGAGACCCGGAGGUCUAAGCUACAGCCCCUCAGCCAACCACAGACCAUUCUCUGGCACCUAAAAGGAGUUCAGUCCCAGAGGGGUGGUCACCCCACCGUUCAGGGGAUGAGAAGUUUUCAAGGGGUAUUACUCAGGCACUAACCCCAGGAAAGAUGACAGCACAUUGCCAUAAAGUUUUGGUUGUUUUCUAA
rnacentral:sRNA from 1 species